GAUGAACGCUGGCGGCGUGCCUAAUACAUGCAAGUCGAACGGCAACACAGGAAGAUCUUUCUCUUGCGGGUGGCGGGUGGCGGGCGGGUGACGAAUGCAUCGGAAUCUAUUUUUUCGGGGAAGAUUUCGUAAGGAAAGUUACGAUAGCACAGCAUACGACGUACCGGUAAAUUCAGUGGAUAUGCGCAAUUUCAUCGAUAGCAUGAGCAGCCGCCGGAUUAGCUAGUUGGUGGGGUAAAGGCGCACCAAGGCGACGAUACGUAGCCGACCUGAGAGGAUGAUCAGCCACACUGGAACUGAGACACGGUCCAGACUCCUACGGGAGGCAGCAGUAGGGAAUCUUCGGCAAUGGGCGGAAGCCUGACCGAGCAACGCCGCGUGAGUGAAGAAGGUCUUCGGAUCGUAAAGCUCUGUUGUUAGGGAAGAACAACUGUGGGAGUAGAAAUUCCUGUCUUGACGGUACCCAAACAAGAAGCACCGGCUAACUUCGUG
rnacentral:rRNA from 1 species